rnacentral:rRNA from 1 species
GACGAACGCUGGCGGCGUGCUUAACACAUGCAACCCGAACCGUAAGGCCCUUCGGUGUACACGAGUGGCGAACGGGUGCGCAACACGUGGGUGAUUUGCCCUGCACUUCGGGAUAAGCCUGGGAAACUGGGUCUAAUACCGGACAGGACCACUGCCUGCAUCGGGGGUGGGGGACAGCUUUUGCGGUGUGGGAUGGGCUCGCUGCCUACCAGCUUGUUGGUGGGGGGGUGGCCUACCAAGGGGACUACGGGUAGAGGGCCUGAGAGGGUGACCGGGCACACUGGGACGGGGAUACGGCCAGGACUCCUACGGGAGGCAGCAGUGGGGAAUAUUGAACAAUGGGCGCAAGCCUGAUGCAGCGACGCCGCGUGAGGGAUGACGGCCUUCGGGUUGUAAACCUCUUUCAGCACCGACGAAGCGCAAGUGACGGUAGGUGCAGAAGAAGGACCGGCCAACUACGUGCCAGCCGCCGCAGUAA